AAAAUACUAAGUUAAAAAAACUUUAGGCCUUCAAAGCCUGCAAUGAAAAUUAAAUUUCGUAUUUUA
rnacentral:tRNA from 1 species